GGCCGGGUGGCGAAGUGGUAACGCGGGAGUCUGCAAAACUUCUAUGCGCGGGUUCAAUUCCCGCCUCGGCCU
rnacentral:tRNA from 1 species